rnacentral:rRNA from 1 species
CCUACGGGAGGCAGCAGUCGGGAAUCUUGCGCAAUGGGCGAAAGCCUGACGCAGCAACACCGUGUGAGCGACGAAGGCCUUCGGGUCGUAAAGCUCUGUUGUUGGGGACGAAGGGCGAGGGGUUAAUAGCCCUGAGCCUGACGGUACCCUUCGAGGAAGCCCCGGCUAACUACGUGCCAGCAGCCGCGGUAAUACGUAGGGGGCGAGCGUUGUCCGGAAUCAUUGGGCGUAAAGAGCGUGUAGGCGGCUCGGUAAGUCCGCCGUGAAAACCCGGGGCUCAACCCCGGGCGUGCGGUGGAUACUGUCGGGCUAGAGGAUGGUAGAGGGGAGUGGAAUUCCCGGUGUAGCGGUGAAAUGCGCAGAUAUCGGGAGGAACACCAGUAGCGAAGGCGGCUCCCUGGGCCAUUCCUGACGCUGAGACGCGAAAGCGUGGGGAGCGAACAGGAUUAGAUACCCUGGUAGUCCACGCCGUAAACGAUGAACACUAGGUGUGGGGGGAGUCGAAUCCCUCUGUGCCGCAGCCAACGCGAUAAGUGUUCCGCCUGGGGAGUACGGCCGCAAGGCUAAAACCCAAAGGAAUUGACGGGGGCCCGCACAAGCAGCGGAGCAUGUUCUUUAAUUCGAUGCAACGCGAAGAACCUUACCUGGGCUUGACAUGGCGCUGCAAGCGCACGGAAACGUGUGACCUUCGAGGGUGCGCCACAGGUGCUGCAUGGCUGUCGUCAGCUCGUGUCGUGAGAUGUUGGGUUAAGUCCCGCAACGAGCGCAACCCCCGUGGCGUGUUGCCAGCAUUUAGUUGGGGACUCACGCCAGACUGCCGGUGACAAACCGGAGGAGGGGGGGAUGACGUCAAGUCAUCAUGGCCCUUACGCCCAGGGCUAGAAACGUGCUACAAUGGCUGUUACAAAGGGUAGCAGACCGCAAGGUGGAGCGAAUCUCAUCAAAAACAGUCUAAGUUCGGAUCGGGUCUGCAACUCGACCCGUGAAGCGGAGUUGCUAGUAUUCGCGAUCAGCACGCCGCGGUGAAUACGUUCCCGGG